UACAGAGGGUGCGAGCGUUAAUCGGAAUUACUGGGCGUAAAGCGUGCGUAGGCGGUUAUUUAAGUCGGGUGUGAAAGCCCCGGGCUCAACCUGGGAAUUGCAUUCGAGACUGAAUAGCUAGGGUACGGUAGAGGGAAGUGGAAUUUCCGGUGUAGCGGUGAAAUGCGUAGAUAUCAGGAGGAACACCGGUGGCGAAGGCGGUUCUCUGGGCAUGAUCUGACGCUGAGGAGCGAAAGUGUGGGGAGCGAACAGG
rnacentral:rRNA from 1 species